rnacentral:rRNA from 1 species
AUGAACGCUGGCGGCGUGCCUAAUACAUGCCAGUCGAGCGGACAGACGAGGAGCUUGCUCCUCUGACGUUAGCGGCGGACGGGUGAGUAACACGUGGAUAACCUACCUAUAAGACUGGGAUAACUUCGGGAAACCGGAGCUAAUACCGGAUAAUAUAUUGAACCGCAUGGUUCAAUAGUGAAAGACGGUUUUGCUGUCACUUAUAGAUGGAUCCGCGCCGCAUUAGCUAGUUGGUAAGGUAACGGCUUACCAAGGCAACGAUGCGUAGCCGACCUGAGAGGGUGAUCGGCCACACUGGAACUGAGACACGGUCCAGACUCCUACGGGAGGCAGCAGUAGGGAAUCUUCCGCAAUGGGCGAAAGCCUGACGGAGCAACGCCGCGUGAGUGAUGAAGGUCUUCGGAUCGUAAAACUCUGUUAUUAGGGAAGAACAAAUGUGUAAGUAACUAUGCACGUCUUGACGGUACCUAAUCAGAAAGCCACGGCUAACUACGU